UCAUCUUAGAAUCCUGUCGUGUUUAUAAGGUUCCCUUGGAUGCUUAUGGACCCUUAGGUCAGGGCUUCAGCGCAUUGCUUGUGGGUAGGUCUAGCGUCACCCUUCAAGGGAUCUUUGUACACCCAGGAGUUAUUGAUGCUGAUUUUACAGGCCAGAUUUGUGCUAUGGUUUCCACACCCACCCCCACAUUACCAUUCCUGAAAAGACUAGAAUUGUUCAACUUGUGCCUUCUAAGUCAUGUGUUCCUAGGGCAGAACAACGCAGUCACGGAGAUGGUGGCUUUGGAUCUAGGGGGCUUCUGCAGGUCUUCUGGACUGCUGAUAUCUCCAGCCAAAAGCCGCAGUUAACAAUGCGGAACCUGCGCGGAGGUAUCAAUGGAAGGUUCUACCUCAGGGUAUGAAGAACAGCCCGACUAUCUGCCAAUGAUACUGGGGUACAGUGGCUACCUGCAAGAUGCGUUCACCCUGACCUGCAGCAGCAGAAGCAGAACAGGCAACCUCCAAGGCAACCUUCAAAUGAUGACCAGAAUGCAGAUCAUUCAUCGAAUGAUCCCUCUGAUGAUGACCAAGAUGUCGACCAUCAGCCUGGUCCUUCUACAAGCAGAGACUGAAUUUCAAGUUUCUUAUGUUAUGGAGUCAGAAUGUUAUGCAGAAUUUUAGAGCCCUUAAGGCUAUUCAGAAUUAGUAACUGAUGUAGAGCCCUUAAGGCUAUUCAGAAUUAAUGACUGGACAUAUAGCUGGAUUCACUAGAUGUAUCUCC